rnacentral:tRNA from 1 species
GCCAUGUUCGUCUAUCGGCUAGGACACCUCCCUUUCACGGAGGAGAGACGGGUUCGAUUCCCGUACGUGGUAC